ensembl:lncRNA
CGUAGACUCUGAUCAAGAACCUGUUUCGCGUUUUGUUCCCGCAAAUAAUGAUGAAUUUUGCCAAAAUCCCAUGUUCAGCAUUACCUCAGUCCAGUUUCAAGACAUGACCUUAUUAAGUUAUUUAGCCAGUCCCCUCUGUCCAUUACCAAACCCAUUAACGUCAUGUCUAUGAGAAUAUGGCACGCAGUGGUGAGUGACGUAAGGUCGUAAAGCAAGAAGAGCCUGGGUGUGUCAGCAUUCAGAUUCAGUACAUCGCCAUUCUCGUAAACCCGUAACAUUGCUGACCAGCAGCAGUUCGCAGACUCUUAUACUUUGCCAUUUACCACAGUAUUACCGGUGAAGUUACAACAGGAACAUUGUUUAAAUAUGACAGAGUUCAAGAAGUAAUCACUGAAUCAUUACAAAUGGACUUCAUGUUUUUUUUAUUUUGAUCAUUUAUUAAGCAAAAGCAACAAUAAAUUACACAUUCAUUUACAACAUUGCUUUUGAUAAAUCUCAAUUAUUCUCAAAAUAUUUUACAAUGACACCGAAAAGAAAAUCCAUUGUCUAAAAAAAUCUUUUUUGUCCAUUGUAUUUUUAUUUUUUUCUUAUCGGUUUUGAUUUAUUCCCCCUUCUUUUCAACCACAUUACACCUUAAUAAUUACAUUCCCAUAACAGUGGCUGUGGCCACAACACAUCAAUUCAAUGGAUGUGUCAAGACCCCUUCUCUGCAUUGGGAUCUGAAACCAAUGCAAUCUUGUUGGACGAUGACGCAUUCAACAACAAAACACAGCCCUUCCUGACACAGUGAUGGUUUUGGUCGUCCAUGGCCUGCAGGCUUUUGCUAUUGGACCCAAGGAUCAAAAAACUAUGAACCCAGUCAACUGCAAUUUGCCAACUUCUAUUAAAAAAGUUAAUGGGAUUAUGCUGUCGAGCUGUGUUUAUGCUACUGGGUCCAAUUCUGUCCACAGUGAUGAGUUCUACUGAGUGGUAGGGAGGUAGUGGAAUAGUCAGUUGUGCCCAAUCCGGCCCUUGGUGGCGAGGGGGAAGCAAGUACAAACAAGCACCCAAUAGACACGGACGAUUACCAACAGCACCGGCACACCACAUGGGAUUCUGAAUUGCAAUUCAUUGACUCGUUUAUACACAGAAACUGGAAACAAAACUGUAAAAAUAUGUCUGUGCCAAAAAAGAAAAAUCUGGAAAACCAAACCCAUCACAGCAAUAUGACAACAUGUCGAAUUGAAUCAUGGCCCAACCAUGAGGUCACCCCUCAAAAUAAAGAAGGAAAAAAAAAAAAAAAAACAGAAACCAAAACGAACAAAAGUUCUCAUCUCUCCCACUUCCAUAACCCCUGUACAGUAUAUACACAAAAUGGGAUCCAGAGAAAAUAGGAAUACAGAAGACCAGGAAUCUUCAAAAUGAAGACUGUUAAUUUGAAGACCAUGUCUUGAAGUUUUGGUAAAAAUCCUGAUUGGUUUACAAAAAGGAACAUCUUCAAAAGGCUCUCUGUCUGGCUUGCUGAUAUGUGCAGGGAGUUUCUAUGUGUCCUCACACAAACUUUCCCUGAAGCCUUGUCUUUCUCCCAGCAGCCUCCAGGGCACAGAGAUUGAUGACCUACUUUGGCGCCUGAGCGCUCCUUCCCGUCUAGUGGCUGGCCUUGUCGCCAUUUAGCUCCCCGUAUUCAAUCAGAAGCGUGUAAAGGAAACAAUGUCAAGACAAGGGAGAAAAUGCAAUUAGGGUAUAAAGUCAACUUGUAUGACAGGCAGACUUCAAUACUGACACAAGUCAUUCAGUAGCUUCUAAACAAGGUGGAUCCACUAAAAGACGAGCUCCCUAUUAACAUUUCAGGCUAAAGAAAACAUACAUCUAGGCUAAGUGCACAGUCGCUUUUUUUUAUAUCAAGUGCUUACAUGGGCAGGGGGAUUCAGAAAUAAGGCAUAAAUUCAGCUAGUCUCCAAAAGAGAGAGCAAGAAAGAGAGAAAAAUAAAGAAAGACAGAGAGACAGAAAAUGAAGCCAAAAGGCAGAUGCAAACAGUUUGGUUUUCCAAGCGUGACGUUCGCCACGAGGGCGCUUACAUCCAUCUCUCCAGUGGCCAUAUUGUGGAUUGCAGGUUAAUCCGAUCAGCACUCCUGCAAUGGCAAACUUCCAUGCAAACAUUCCAAGAUAAGUGUCUGUCUGUGUGUAUGUGUCUGUGUGCGUCUGUCGCAGGUGCUGUGCUUUUGCUGGUGUUGACUGUUUAUCACAAGCACCACCGGGAAGUGUAAAGUGACCCUGAAAUCUGCAUCUACUGCAUUAAAUAUUGAGAGCUUGGCAUGUUUUUUUUUUUUUUUUUUUUUUAAACAUGCCCUACCCCCCAAACCUCAUCCCCCUUCCGAAAGAACACCUCUCAUUCCCACCGGCUUAGAACCAGUAGAAAAAGAUGUUGACCUGAAAAGGUAUUUUGGGUUCCCCCUCUCCCCCGAGCCUGUCUUUGCCAGGUGCUGUGACAACCUAACAGGCUUACUGCGAGUCUGUCAGAAGCGUGGCAAAGGGGAUUACCGCUGAAAUCGAGUGCCAGGCGGUGUGUGUAUGUGGAAGGGGUGGUUGACACAGUGAGAGGAGAUCAAAUUCACCUUGCCGGCGUCAAGUGUCAAAAACCGACGAUCCCUCAGCACUCAGAGGCUUGGUGCGAGUGGGUGUCAGUGUGAAAAGGCAGGUGUGUGUGUGUGUGUGUGUGUAAGAAUGCUAGGGCACGGGUGCUUUCUCGCCUUGUGUGGUCCUGCUUAAAAGGUGAAAAGCAUGUGAUGUCAAUGUGUGUCACCUGUCUCAGUCAACCAUCACUCUGUUGUGUGUGCGCGACCUCUAAAAAGAGCUUUUCAGUAAGGUGUAAUAGGAAGCCAUGGGUGCAGCCAGAUAGGAUAAAAAAAAAAAAAGUCAGGGAAGAAAAACAAAAUUAAGUUAAGCUGUCAAGUUCCUUAAGUGCAAGCCACUCUGCAUUCAGAACACACACACACACACACACACACACACACACACACACACACACACACACACACACACACACACACACACACACACACACAC